AAUUUUGGACAAUGGGGGAAACCCUGAUCCAGCCAUCCCGCGUGUAUGAUGAAGGCCUUCGGGUCGUAAAGCGCUUUUCGGGGAGAUGAGCACGGACAGUAUCCCCGGAAGAAGCAUCGGCUAACUACUUGCCAGCAGCCGCGGUAAAACGUAGGAUCCGAGCGUUAUCCGAAUUCACUGGUCGUAAAGCGCAUGCAGGCGGCCGAACAAGUUGGAUGUGAAAUCUCCCGGCUCAACUGGGAGGGGACGUUCAAAACUGUGCGGCUCGAGGGCGGUAGAGGAAGGUAGAAUUCCCGGUGUAGUGGUGAAAUGCGUAGAUAUCGGGAGGAAUACCCGUGGCGAAGGCGACCUUCUGGACCGUUUCUGACGCUCAGACACGAAAGCGUGGGGAGCAAACAGG
rnacentral:rRNA from 1 species